AUGUGCCCGCUGAGGGUGAUACUCAUCUUCCUCUCCGCCACCGUCGCCGGAUUCUUCCUCCUCCGCGGCCUCAACGCCGACCCCGACUGUUUCCAAGACGGCGACGACGGCUCGGAAUCUCCCAGGGCCGCCGUUCCCCUCCAUUCCAAGGUUGGUUCAGCUGUGAAAACCGGGUUCUGGACAACGGUGGACAUGGCGAGCGGGCGGUACCUUUGGCGGACCCUUGUUGCGCCACCGGCCAAUUCUGAAUCCGACAAGGCCCGGUGA
rnacentral:rRNA from 1 species